GCCCCCAAGUAACAUCCUAGACAGGAAGUCAUUGAAGAGAACUCUUAAAAAGUAUGAUAAGGAUGCUGAAGUGUAGCUCUCCACAGUUGGUGGCUCCUGGCAGGGGUGUAGGACUGGAAGAAUGCAGUUCUAUUGAAGGGGCAGGUCAUGAGAAUUUGACCAUGCUCUGGGGUUUGAGGCAACUUGGAAGCAUGUGAAAAGGCAGUUGAAAUCACAGACUUAGAAAACAGGUGGAUGACCAAGAGUGGCGACGUAGACUGAGUUUGGUAUACUGAUGUAACAAAUGAACUACUAUCAGAUGUGAUAAAAGUUUGGAUUGGCUACAUCAAGCACUCUUAUAGAUUAAGAAGACGUCAUCUGUGUAUCAAGCUGACAAAGGGUGGACCUGUGAUGACUGACUUCCACCGUCCAUUUGACUGGCUUUCUAAGCACACCCGACAAGGGAUGCCCGAGUGGGCCUGUGAGGACAUUUGCAGACAGGACUCGCCGAUAGGCAUUCUCUACCCCUGCUUCCUGACAGCUGAGGUAUGGAUUGCUCUCUCCUACCUAUCAUGAGAGUUUGAAAUCCUCAACUAAACCUGCUAUGUCAGGCAUCCUUCAGUGGUGAAGUCUUUCCAAUGUGCCACUGCUAGGCAGAGACGGGCUCCAUCAGUCGGACUUCUGCCUUGAACAGCUCCCAUUUAGAUCUACCUUGAAAGAAAAGGGGAGUUAAGAAGUAAAUCUGAGCGAACACAAUGUUUGCCUUGAUUUUUAAGUAUUUCUUGAUUUUAUGAGUGAGUGUGAGCCUGCAUGUAUUUAUGUGCACCAUAUGCAUGCAGUGCUCAC